GGUCUCCAGCCACACCACCCUGAACACGCCCGGUCUCGUCUGAUCUCGGCAGCUAAGCGGGGUCGGGCCUGGUUAGUACGUGGAUGGGAGUCUGUCUGUUCUUGGCCAAAUAACCAGCGUUGACAUCU
rnacentral:rRNA from 1 species